rnacentral:misc_RNA from 1 species
CUAUUAUUAUAAUUAGAUUAUGGUAUUAUAAAUUGAUAUAUAUGUUAUUGUUGGCUUAUUACUACUUGCUAAAUUAUUAAUUUUCUUCUCUUUUUUAUUUUUGCUCCUUGUCUCGCUCGAGUGCGCACCUGUGCCUUGCGCCUGGGCCCUAAGACACUUUUGCGCCUUGGUGCGUCUUGAGCCUUUAAUAACUAUGUUUUUUCUUCUUCUUCUUCUUCUUUUCUUCUUUUUUAUCUUUUUGUUGGCUGCUGGAGCAAUUUUUAAACCCUAGCCAAUUUUUAUACUGCGCCUUAACUCCUUGGAGUGCACCUCAGUGUGCCUCGCGCCUUGGUGCGCCUAAGGGAGUUGGUGCGCCUUUCUUGCCAUCGAGCCUGCACCUGGCGCCUUGCGCCACUGUAAAUGAUACACUAUAAAAUAAUCACUUAUAAUAUACCCCCCUUUUUAUUGAGGAAUAUGCCUCUUGAAGAAUAUUCUCUAGAAUAUGCUAAGAAAUAUGCUCCUAUCACUUUUCCCUAUAAAUAGGGCCAAAUAAGGAUGAAAAAGGGGUUUCUCUCUCUCAAACCUUCUCUCUCUUUCCUUCUUU